GCAGUUUUUUUUUUUCUUUUCUUGUCUUUUUUUUUUUUUUUCCUAAUCAUGUGGACAUCUCUGAGAAUGAGGGGACUGGGUGACUUUGCAGUGUCUGCUUUCUAAGUUUCAAAGUGACUUUCCAGGCAAGCUGCGCAUAUCUUGGGAUCUUCACAGCACAGUGGCUGGGAAGGCAGGCGGACCCGUCUAUCAGCUUCUCCCUGUUUGAAGGUCCGACUCAUCAUGGCAGGACUUGGCGUUGGGUCAGAUGCCCUGUGGCUGUGUCAUGUGGAAUGCGAGGCUGCCUGCUCAUAUCUCAGCAGAUCCAGAGGGGACAAAGAAGAAGGCCACACCCACACGACUUCAGGCAAGGAUGCUGCUGCUCACAUUCAGGGUGGAUUUUUUUUUUUUGUUCUGCCCUUGUUAAGAAUUUAUAAGAGAUCUUUAUACAUGCCUAAAAUAAAUAAAUCCAUUACUGACCAGACAGA
rnacentral:lncRNA from 1 species